rnacentral:lncRNA from 10 species
ACAUGGAAGUCUCCAAGCCUGUGCCAUCCACCUGCCAAGGAAAAGCACAAGGCAGUAGAGCGAGGGAAGCUGCACUGGCUGAGAGGCUGUGGAACCGGAUGAAAAAGCAGCCCCUGAGUCCUGUGGCGUUGGCUCAUACAGUUUGAACAUUUAUUCGCCUCCUGAGCUUGUACAACAGUCGUGGGAGUUGCUGCAGAAGCAAGCGAAAAGCCAGAUGAGCGCUUCUAAACUUAGAGAGAGGUAUUUUUUCUCUCAUAUGCAUAGACCUUUCUUUGAUGCCUGGAAAAUCAAAAGGAAGUUGAUGUUUUCCUAGAAAGAGGCUCUGAGCCAAGUCCUUUCUGUGCUUCCAUUUCUUCCCCUCUACAGGGAGAGCGCCUCAUCUCUUCCAUUUUCCAGGAGAGUUGGGGCCUUCCAUUCCCUCCAGUAAAUACUUGUUUUUCUUCCACCGCUGAGGCAAAUGCGGGGUGGCUGAUCACCUGGCAGACAUCUUAGGAAACAGGAGCACCGGUCUGGGAAACUGCUGGCCUGGCCUAACACCUGGCGCUGUGGUGCAGGAGGGCAGCCACUGAGGAUUCUUGAGGAGAGAGAGACCAUAGAAUGAAUGAAAGAGUUGGAAAGACUUUAAAGCUCUGGGAGGCUGAAUCCUUUAUUUCGCUGGAAGAAAAACUGAAUGCCAAGAGGGCCUCACUUUCCCCAAAGCUAUACAGCCAUCAGGGGCAAUGCUGGGAUUCCCCCAUGGAUCUCUUGACUCCUAAUACAGUGCUCUUUCUGAUAUGCCAUCUGGCUCCAUAAUGAACAUUGUGUUCCAGGAAAAUCAGUCUGCGCUGAACAGGAUGGAAUUGGGGCAGGACGUCCAGUGAGGAGGACAUUGAGGCAGUAGAGCAGUUGAUUGCCGAAUGACCACCUACCCUGACUUAAAAGAUCAACCUCAGGGAGGAUUGGAGCUUUCUAGAGUCUCUUGGGACAGCAGAAGCACAGGCCGGGUUGGACUGAAUCUUUAAGUGGACAUGAGGGACAAAGUACCUCCUGUUGGUAAACAUCUCACCACCAACCCACUGUGGUGGCUAAAAUCCCACCUUUAGUCCCAGCAACAUAUGAGCAUGUCACCAGGAGGUCUUCACAGGCCUGUCUGCCACCUGAGUGUAGACAUCUUUUGGCCCUGGAGCCCAGAGAGGCUGAAUGUGGAGAGGGUGGAGAGAGGUCUGUAGUCCUCAGAGAAGACUUGCAGCUUUUUCAGAGCCACCAACCCAUAAAAAAAAAAAUCCCCAAACAGAAAAAUCCUAACUGUGGUGACCAGGUACCUCCUGAGACAUGAAGCCUCCACUUACCUGGACCCUGGAGGCCUCUCCGGGCACAGCUGCCAAUGUUGAUCUUAGAUAAGACCACCAGCAAGUAAACAUCCACUGUGCAAAGCUGUGUUAUCUUUGGGGAACUGAAAUGUCCCCUGGGAGUUGGAAACUCCCCUAGCCACAUACCACAGAGUUGAGGAAGGAAGAGCUGAUGGACGGAAGAACCAUGGCGGGAGGAGUCAUCCGGAAGCUACCUCGCUGCCCUGUCAGUUACGGAACAGAGGAGAGAUGCCGGCUGGAGGACACAGCAAAUUUGAACCAAGAGGAGCUUGGAGGAAGCCCGAGCGACCUGGAGGGGACUGGCUGACCUUCCUCAUUCUUUUCAAGUGUGAAUAAUAACCAAGCCCAGUUUGGCAACUCCUUGAGGGUGAGGACGAAGCCCCAUUCUCCUUUUUGGAACUUGGUGGGGCUCAGGAAGCAGGUUCUCUCCAGUCGGUGGCUUUCCUUUCUGUUGCGGGUCUCUUGAGGGCCUGCCUUCAUGAAGGCACAUGAGUGACUCAUCAUUUGUGAAUUAAUUGCUAUAUGUGAAGGGCAUCUGAGAACAAAUUAUCUUCAUAGACUUUUCAUUAUAAUUUUAUUUGUACUGA